UACGUAGGGUGCAAGCGUUAAUCGGAGUUACUGGGCGUAAAGCGUGCGCAGGCGGUUGUGCAAGACAGAUGUGAAAUCCCCGGGCUUAACCUGGGAACUGCAUUUGUGACUGCACGGCUAGAGUGUGUCAGAGGGGGGUAGAAUUCCACGUGUAGCAGUGAAAUGCGUAGAUAUGUGGAGGAAUACCGAUGGCGAAGGCAGCCCCCUGGGAUAACACUGACGCUCAUGCACGAAAGCGUGGGGAGCAAACAGG
rnacentral:rRNA from 1 species